GAUGAACGCUGGCGGCGUGCCUAAUACAUGCAAGUCGAGCGAACAGAUGAGGAGCUUGCUCCUCUGACGUUAGCGGCGGACGGGUGAGUAACACGUGGAUAACCUACCUAUAAGACUGGGAUAACUUCGGGAAACCGGAGCUAAUACCGGAUAAUAUAUUGAACCGCAUGGUUCACUAGUUAAAGACGGUUUUGCUGUCACUUAUAGAUGGAUCAGCGCCGCAUUAGCUAGUUGGUAAGGUAACGGCUUACCAAGGCAACGAUGCGUAGCCGACCUGAGAGGGUGGUCGGCUACACGGGAAGUGAGACACGGUCCAGACUCCUACGGGAGGCAGCAGUAGGGAAUCUUCCGCAAUGGGCGAAAGCCUGACGGAGCAACGCCGCGUGAGGGAUGAAGGUCUUCGGAUCGUAAAACUCUGUUAUUAGGGAAGAACAAAUGUGUAAGUAACUAUGCACGUCUUGACGGUACCUAAUCAGAAAGCCACGGCUAACUACGUG
rnacentral:rRNA from 1 species